CACUUACCGGGCGUCCAAACUCCAGUUCUGAAAAGAAUUUAUACCAGGGCUCAUUUUCUAAAUCUAUGUCAUCUGGAUUUAUGCGAUCAGUCUAGAGCAGACGUGAAGGAAAAGGGAAGGAAAAGGCACACUGAGCGAAGUGAGGGCACGCUGUGCGGUAUGAACAACACGCGCGCAUCUACACGCAAACAUGCACGACUCUCAUCCAACAAACCUCAGCAGGACAGAACGGAGGAGGUACUUUUUGGACACCAUGGACGUGACAUCAUGCCUGGCCACGUACAGUGUUUUCCAGCCUAUGCCACUCAUGGGAUCGCUGGAUGACUGACAGCUGGUGGAUGCUGAGGAAGCAUAAAGAGACUGUCAACUUUAUGACUUCAGCAACUGUGGAAAUACUGCUGUAAUAAACAAGAUUGCCAGAAAAAAGCAGCAGGAGUGAGACAGCUGAGAGAUCACAGUGCCUCACAGUUUGGUCAACAGAAACUCAAUCUUCUUUUAGCUUCCCCAUGAUCAUUAUUUGGCAGCACUGCAUGGAUUGAUUUUUGCUCCAUGUCCACACUGAACACAAUUAUUUACCAUUGUUUUCUUAGAUGAAAUCAGACAAACAUCAUGAUCUAACUUUGUACUCUGAUUAUGGGCAUUAAUUCCAAACAAUACAGAAUAAAUUCAGCAGAGUUGUACUCCUGGUCUUCAUUUUAAAUUCUAUAAAUGGGAAAAAAUAGCAUCCACUUAUCCUUAAGUAUAACGAAAACAUUACUUUCUUGGGGGUAUUUCUCAUUAUUUAAUUGCAUGUAUGGUUUAUUUUCUCAUGUCUUGCAUUCGAUUUCCUUGGGUUUUAUUAAAGCUAUGAAUGAUGAAGUAUUGACCUUGUCAAAAUAACGUAUUUGCAUUUUAAAAUGUUUUCUAUAUAAUUUUUUCAAAAGAAAAAAAAAAGGAUUGCACCACAUAAUGAACAAACUACAGAGCUGGAGUAGAGGAUAUUUUGAAGCUCCUUGAAGUGAGCUUCAAAUGUACUGCUGGGUUCCAGUUGGCCCUCUAACUUACACUUGGUAUAUAUCUAGAUUCAAUUUGAAUUUUAUGAAUACAUUAAGUUGACAUCAGGUAUAAGAUGUCAUUGCACAAGUGUAAUGCUUAGCUAUCUUUAAAUAUUCUUUUAUCUUUAUUUAAAUAUUCUUUAGGUCUCUUUUGCCCCUUCAGCACACAAAUCCUGUAAUCUGAAAUUUGUGCAGAAAUACGUUUUGCAAAAGCAAAUAAGUAAUAUAAUCUACAUAAAUAUCCCUAAUCAUUUUAAAGUGUCACUUAAGGCAUUUUCUUUUUUUUUUUUUUUUUUUUUUUUGUCUUUUUGUGGUUUUUAUCGGUACCAGGGAUCGAACUCACAACUGCCUGCUUGCAAGGCAGGCGCUUAUGCCGCUGAGCUAAACCCCCAGCCCCUUAAGGCAUUUUCAAAAUAUAUGAUUCUAUAAAACAACAGCAAACUGUUUUAUAGAACUGUAACUUAAUGGGUUGUAAAUCACUUUGUGGUCAGAAAACUACAAUAUUUUCAUGACAGGUUUUAGGGCAUAUAAAGAUUUUCUACUACUUGUAUGUUGAUUUGUAUGCAAAUAAUAAAGUUUUAUUUAAUUAA